UAGGGAAUCUUCGGCAAUGGACGAAAGUCUGACCGAGCAACGCCGCGUGAGUGAAGAAGGUUUUCGGAUCGUAAAACUCUGUUGGUAGAGAAGAACGUUGGUGAGAGUGGAAAGCUCAUCAAGUGACGGUAACUGCCCAGAAAGGGACGGCUAACUACGUACCAG
rnacentral:rRNA from 1 species